rnacentral:rRNA from 1 species
CCUACGGGAGGCAGCAGUGGGGAAUCUUGCGCAAUGGGCGAAAGCCUGACGCAGCAACGCCGCGUGCGGGAAGAAGGCCUUAGGGUUGUAAACCGCUUUCAGUAGGAACGAAAAUGACGGUACCUGCAGAAGAAGGUGCGGCCAACUACGUGCCAGCAGCCGCGGUGACACGUAGGCACCAAGCGUUGUCCGGAUUUAUUGGGCGUAAAGAGCUCGUAGGCGGUUCAGUAAGUCGGGUGUGAAAACUCUGGGCUUAACCCAGAGCCGCCACUCGAUACUGCUGUGACUUGAGUUCGGUAGGGGAGCAGGGAAUUCCUAGUGUAGCGGUGAAAUGCGCAGAUAUUAGGAGGAACACCGGUGGUGAAGGCGCUGCUCUGGGCCGAUACUGACGCUGAGGAGCGAAAGCGUGGGUAGCAAACAGGAUUAGAUACCCUGGUAGUCCACGCCGUAAACGUUGGGCACUAGGUGUGGGUUCCAACCACGGAAUCCGCGCCGUCGCUAACGCAUUAAGNGCCCGCGUCGGAGGUACGGCGGCGACGACUAACUACAAGAAGUAGACGGCGNGAGACGNGCCGACGGACGACGACGAGGGAGUAGG